CACGUAGGGCGCAAGCGUUGUCCGGAAUUAUUGGGCGUAAAGAGCUCGUAGGCGGUCUGUUGCGUCCGCUGUGGAAAACUCGGGGCUUAACCCCGGAUUGCAGUGGGUACGGGCAGGCUAGAGUGUGGUAGGGGAGACUGGAAUUCCUGGUGUAGCGGUGAAAUGCGCAGAUAUCAGGAGGAACACCGAUGGCGAAAGGGCAGGUCUCUGGGGCCACUACUGACGCUGAGAAGCGAAAAGCUGGGGGAGCGAAACAGGG
rnacentral:rRNA from 1 species